rnacentral:rRNA from 1 species
GAUGAACGCUGGCGGCGUGCCUAAUACAUGCAAGUCGAGCGAACGGACGAGAAGCUUGCUUUUCUGAUGUUAGCGGCAGACGGGUGAGUAACACGUGGAUAACCUACCUAUAAGACUGGGAUAACUUCGGGAAACCGGAGCUAAUACCGGAUAAUAUUUUGAACCGCAUGGUUCAAAAGUGAAAGACGGUCUUGCUGUCACUUAUAGAUGGAUCCGCGCUGCAUUAGCUAGUUGGUAAGGUAACGGCUUACCAAGGCAACGAUGCAUAGCCGACCUGAGAGCGUGAUCGGCCACACUGGAACUGAGACACGGUCCAGACUCCUACGGGAGGCAGCAGUAGGGAAUCUUCCGCAAUGGGCGAAAGCCUGACGGAGCAACGCCGCGUGAGUGAUGAAGGUCUUCGGAUCGUAAAACUCUGUUAUUAGGGAAGAACAUAUGUGUAAGUAACUGUGCACAUCUUGACGGUACCUAAUCAGAAAGCCACGGCUAACUACGUG